CCCGCUCUGCAGCUAAAGGCAUUGACCAGCUGAGUUCUGUGGCAGCCAAGUUGUCCAUCUCUCUCCUGAGGCACACCGAGCUCAUUCCAGCUGACAAGGCCUUUUAUGAGGCCGGCCUGGCAGCCAAGGCUGUGGAAUGGGAGAACAUGGCUUUU